rnacentral:lncRNA from 1 species
CCUCCCUUCCCCCUCAUUCUUCCUCAUGUGCCCACAUCUGUCUCCUGCCCCUCAGAUUCUCCUCCACAUUCCCCUGGACAUAAACACUCCUCCAGUUUCCCUCCCUGUUCUUGGAUUUUACCUCCCAAACAUAACUGUUCUCACAAUCCAUCAACCUCAUGAAGAAACUUGCACAAAUACAGACAGAUAUCAUCUUCCUUUCCAAAUGCAAACGGAUGGACAUCAUACCAAAUGGACUAAAGGUAAAAAAUCCACUGCUAUCUACAUACUACACAGACCACAGUGAGAGAUUAUGUCAUACUCUAUCAAAAAAACUGAGGAACCACCUGAUCAGCAUCCUAUACAGCAAACAGGAAAACAUCAAAAAAGAGCUCUCCAACCUGGAGACUCUCAUUAAUAACCAAACUUCUAUACAAACGGACUUCACUAGAAUAAGACAGGAGAUCUACAUUACUCACUUCACCUCUCUUCAAAGGAAAAAGGACUGUAAGCUGUCUAAACUCCUACCUGCCACAUGGGGCCACAACAGUGGUACCCCUAACCCACCCAGCAAUAUCGUCAAUCUAUCCAACUACACACUCAGCCCAGAAGAAAAGUCUGUCCUAUCUCGGGGACUCUCUUUCUGCCCUGCCACCCCCACCAACAUGAUACAGUUCUGUGGCGAUCUGGAAGCCUACUUUCGCCGUCUCCGACUCAAAGAAUACUUCCAGGACAACACUGAACAGUGCACUGAUACACGGGUGCCCUCCCACCAACAGCACAAGAAAAAGAACUCCACAUGGACUCCUCCUGAGGGUCGAAAUGACAGCCUGGACCUAUACAUUGAAUGCUUCCGCCGGCGUGCACAGGCAGAAAUCGUGGAACAACAACAUCGCUUGCCUCACAACCUAAGCCGUGCAGAACGCAAUGCCAUCCACAGCCUCAGAAACCACCCUGACAUUAUCAUCAAAGAGGCUGAUAAAGGAGGUGCCGUUGUCAUCAUGAACAGGUCUGACUAUCAAAAGGAGGCAGCCAGACAACUCUCCAAUACCAAAUUCUAC